GUAUACUCAGUGUAUAUGACUUUAAAGCUUGGAGAACUGGUAUUAAUUCUGUUCUCAUUGAGCCCAUGAAAACCUCCACCUAUGAAGCUAAAAUCCUUGCUCAGUUCUAGUCAGACUUUUAAAACAAAACAGACAUUGAGUUGGAUGGGUUGAAUACAGCGCUCCAGACUACUGUUUUCCCCUGGUGACACUGGUGCCACUAACUUUUUAAGUUGAUGGCACCAGACCAUGAUUUGGUCGCACCCCACCCCUAAUUACAGCGUCAUGCAAUAGAAAUAUUCAUAAUGCUUUAUAAGAUGUGUAAUAAACUACUGGUAUUCAAUAAAUAACUUGUUACAUCUAACAUGUCCAAGCAGGAAUGCAUGAUUGAAAAUCUUUUGAUAUGCAACCUAAUCCAGUGAUUGUCAUGAUUGUUAGGUUAACAAAUAGGCUAUAAUUCUUUAGAUUUGAGAGUCAAAAUUAGGGCACCAGAAGAUUCAGAUGUUUUUAUUUUUAAUUUGCCUUCAUCUUUAUGUGCACUAUUUGGGCUGCAAUUUCUGAGGCUGGUAACUCUAAUGAACUUAUCCUCUGCAACAGAGGUAACUCUGGAUCUUUUCCUGUAGCGGUCCUCAUGAGAGCCAGUUUCAUCAAAUCAAAUCACAUUUUAUUGGUCACAUACACAUGGUUAGCAGAUGUUAUUGCGAGUGUAGCGAAAUGCUUAGGCUUAUAGAUCCAACAGUGCAGCAUUAUCUAACAGGUCAUAUCUAACAAUUCCACAACAAAACCUAAUACACACAAUCUAGUAAAGGAAUGGGAUAAGAAUAUAUAAAAUAUAUGGAUGAGCAGUGACAGAGUGGGUAAGAUUCAAUAGAUAGUGUGGGAUACAGUACAUACAUAUGAGAAGUAAUGCAAGAUAUGUAAACAUUCUUAAAGUAGCAUUAUUAAAGUGACUAUUGAUCCAUUAAAGUGGCCAAUUAUAUCAAGUCUGUAUGUAGGCAGCCGCCUCUCUGUGCUAGCGAUGGCUGUUUAUCAAUCUGGCCUUGAGAUUGAAAAACAGCUUCUAUUUCUCUGUCCCAGCUUUGAUGCCCCUGUACUGACCUCACCUUCUGAAUGGCGGUGAGGUGAACAAGCAGUGGCUCGCAUGGUUUUUGUCCUUGAUUAUCUUUUUUGCCUUCCUGUGACAUCGGGUGUUCUAGGUGUCCUGGAGGGCAGGUAGUUUGCCCCCAGUGAUGCAUUGUGCAGACCGCACCACCUUCUGGAGAACCCUGCGGUUGUGGGCGUUGCAGUUGCCGUACCAGGCGGUGAUACAGCCCGACAGGAUGCUCUCGAUUGUGCACCUGUAAAAGUUAGUGAGGGAUUUCGGUGACAAGCCACAUUUUUUCAGCCUCCUGAGGUUGAAGAGGUGCGGUUGUGCCUUCUUCACCACACUGUCUUUGGGCGUGGACCAUUUCAGUUUGUCGGUGAUAUGUACACCGCGGAACUUAAAACUUUCCACCUUCUCCACUGCUGUCCCGUCGAUGUGGAAAGGGGGGGUGCUCCCUUUGCUGUUUCGUGAAGUCCACGAUCAUCUCUUUUGUUUUGGUGACAUUGAGCGCGAGGUUAUUUUCCUGACACCACACUCCGAGUGCCCUCACCUCCUCCCUGUAGUCUGUCUCGUCGUUGUUGGUAAUUAAGCCUACCACUGUUGUGUCAUCUGCAAACUUGAUGAUUGAGUUGGAAGCGUGCAUGGCCACGCAGUCGUGGGUGAACAGGGAGUACAGGAGGGGGCUGAGAACGCACCCUUGUGGGGCCCCAGUGUUGAGGAUCAGCGGAGUGGAGAUGUUGUUUCCUACCUUCACCACCUGGGGCGGCCAGUCAGGAAGUACAGGACACAGUUGCACAGGGAGGGGGUCAAGACCCAGGGACUCAAGCUUAAUGAUGAGUUUGGAGGGUACUAUGGUGUUGAAUACCGAGCUGUAGUCUAUGAACAGCAUUCUUAAAUAGGUAUUGCUCUUGUCCAGAUGAGAUAUGGCAGUGUGCAGUGUGAUGGUGAUUGCAUCGUCUGUGGACCUAUUGGGGCGGUAAGCAAAUUGAAGUGGGUCUAAAGUGACAGGUAGGGUGGAGUUGAUAUGAUCCUUGACUAAUCUCUCAAAGCAUUUCAUGAUGACAGAAGUGAGUUCUACAGGGCGAUAGUCAUUUAGUUCAGUUACCUUGGCUUUCUUGGGAACAGGAACAAUGGUGCCCAUCUUGAAGCAUGUGGGGACAGCAGACUGGGAUAGGGAUUGAUUGAAUAUGUCCGUAAACAUGCUGAGGACGCGGCUAGGGAUGCCAUCUGGGCCGGCAGCCUUGCAAGGGUUAACACAUCCAACUGUUUUACUCAUGUCGGCCACGGAGAAGGAGAGCCCACAGUCUUUGGUAGCGGGCCGUGUCGGUGUCACUGUAUUGUCCUCAAAGAAGUUGUUUAAUUUGUCUGGAUGAAAGACGUCAAUGUCCGUAAACGAGGCUGGUUUUCUUUUUGUAAUUCGUGAUUGUCUGUAGACCAUGCUACACAGGUCUCGUGUUUGAGCCGUUGAAUUGCGACUCCACUUUGUCUCUAUACUGACACUUUGCUUGUUUGAUUGCCUUACGGAGGGAAUAACUACACUGUUUGUAUUCGGCCAUAUUGCCAGUCGCCUUGCCAUGAUUAAAUGUGGUGGUACUUGCUUUCAGUUUUGUGCGAAUGCUGCCAUUAAUCAACGGUUUCUGGUUAGGGAAGGUUUUAAUAGUCACAGUGGGUACAACAUCUCCUAUACACUUCCUUAUAAAUUCGUUCAUCAAGUCAGCGUAUACGUCAAUGUUGUUCUCUGAGGCUACCGGGAACAUAUCCCAGUCCAUGUGAUCGAAGCAAUCUUGAAGUGUGGAAUCCAAAUUGGUCAGACCAGCGUUGGAUAGACCUAAACUCGGGCGCUUCCCGUUUUAGUUUCUGCCUAUGGGAGGGAGUAACAAGAUGGAGUCAUGGUCAGAUAUGCCAAAAGGAGGGCGGGGGAGUGCCUUGUAUGCAUCGCGGAAGUUAGAGUAGCAAUGGUUGAGUGUGUUGCUCGCUUGUGUACUGCAAUCGAUAUGCUGACAGAAAUUAGGUAGCCUUGUUCUCAAAUUAGCUUUGUUAAAAUCCCCAGCUACAAUAAAUGCAGCCUCAGGAUAUAUGGUUUCCAGUUUGCUUAAAGUCCAGUGAAGUUCCUUGAUGGCCGUCUUGGUAUCAGCUUGUGGGGGGAUACACACCGCUGUGACAAUAACCGAGGAGAGUUCUCUUGGGAGAUAAUACGGUCGGCAUUUGAUUGUGAGGAAUUCUAGGUCAGGUGAAAAAAAGGACUUGAGUUCCUGUAUAUUGUUACAAUUACACCAUGAGUCGUUAAUCAUGAAAUAUACACCCCCGCCCUUCUUCUUACCGGAGAGAUGUUUAUUCCUGUCGGCGCGAUGCACUGAAAAUCCCAUUUGCUGUACUCACUCCAACAGCAUGUCCCAAGCUAGCCAUGUUUCCAUGAAACAGAGUAUGUUACAAUCCCGAAUAUCUCUUUGGAAAGCAACUCUUGCCCUGAUUUCGUCGGCUUUGUUAACUAGGGACUGGAUAUUAGCUGGUAAGAUGACAUCUCUCUGAUAUCCAAUAUUUCUUCCUGGCUGUAUGUAAUAACACUUCAGGUUUUCUGGGCUAACAAUCAAAUCAAAUGUAUUUAUAUAGCCCUUCUUACAUCAGCUGAUAUCUCAAAGUGCUGUACAGAAACCCAGCCUAAAACCCCAAACAGCAAGCAAUGCAGGUGUAGAAGCACGGUGGCUAGGAAAAACUCCCUAGAAAGGCCAAAACCUAGGAAGAAACCUAGAGAGGAACCAGGCUAUGAAGGGUCCUCUUCUGGCUGUGCCGGGUGGAGAUUAUAACAGAACAUGGCCAAGAUGUUCAAAUGUUCAUAAAUGACCAGCAUGGUCAAAUAAUAAUAAUCACAGUUGUCGAGGGUGCAACAAGUCAGCACCUCAAGGGUAAAUGUCAGUUGGCUUUUCAUAGCCAAUCAUUGAGAGUAUCUCUACCGCUCCUGCUGUCUCUAGAGAGUUGAAAACAGCAGGUCUGGGACAGGUUGCACGUCCGGUGAACAGGUCAGGGUUCCAUAGCCGCAGGCAGAACAGUUGAAACUGGAGCAGCAGCACGGCCAGGUGGACUGGGGACAGCAAGGAGUCAUCAUGUCAGGUAGUCCUGAGGCAUGGUCCUAGGGCUCAGGUCCUCCGAGAGAGAGAAAGAAAGAAAGAAUUAGAGAGCGCACACUUAAAUUCACACAGGACACCGGAUAAGACAGGAGAAAUACUCCAGAUAUAACAGACUGACCCUAGCCCCCCGACACAUAAACUACUGCAGCAUAAAUACUGGAGGCUGAGACAGGAGGGGUCAGGAGACACUGUGGCCCCAUCCGACGAUACCCCUGGACAGGGCCAAACAGGAAGGAUAUAACCCCACCCAAAGCACAGCCCCCACACCACUAGAGGGAUAUCUUUAACCACCAACUUACCAUCCUGAGACAAGGCCGAGUAUAGCCCACAAAGAUCUCCGCCACGGCACAACCCAAGGGGGGGCGCCAACCCAAACAGGAAGACCACGUCAGUGACUCAACCCACUCAAGUGACGUACCCCUCC
rnacentral:lncRNA from 1 species